AACGUAGGACGCGAGCGUUAUCCGGAGUUACUGGGCGUAAAGCGCGGGCAGGCGGUCUGACAAGUCUGAUGUGAAAUCACCCAGCUUAACUGGGCGAGGCCAUUGGAAACUGACAGGCUGGAGGGCAGUAGAGGUAGGCGGAAUUCCGGGUGGAGUGGUGAAAUGCGUAGAGAUCCGGAGGAACACCAGAGGCGAAGGCGGCCUACUGGGCUGCACCUGACACUCAGGGACGAAAGCUAGGGGAGCGAAUGGG
rnacentral:rRNA from 1 species